rnacentral:rRNA from 1 species
AUGGAUGAUUUCUCCAUUUAUCCAUCCUCUUUUGAUGAUUGCUUGAGCAACCUUGAUCGAGUUCUGCAGAGAUGGGAAGAUACUAGUCUUGUCUUGAAUUGGGAGAAGUGCCACUUUAUGGUGAAUGAAGGCAUUGUCUUGGGGCAUAAAAUUUCUGAAAGAGGUAUUGAAGUUGAUAAAGCUAAGGUUGAUGCUAUUGAAAAGAUGCCGUGUCCCAAGGAAUUUAAAGGUAUAAGAAGUUUCCUUGGUCAUGCUGGUUUUUAUAGGAGGUUCAUUAAGGACUUCUCUAAAAUUUCUAGGUCUCUGACUAAUCUCUUACAAAAAGAUAUUCCUUUCGUCUUCGAUGAUGAUUGUGUAGAAGCAUUUGAAAUACUUAAGAAAGCCUUGAUUUCUGCACCUAUUGUUCAGCCACCUGAUUGGAAUUUACCCUUUGAAAUUAUGUGUGAUGCUAGUUAUUAUGCUGUAGGUUCUGUUCUAGGACAAAGAGUUGAUAAGAAACUAAAUGUUAUUCAAUAUGCUAGUAAAACUCUAGACAGUGCCCAGAGAAAUUAUGCUACUACUGAAAAACAAUUUUUAGCAGUUGUGUUUGCUUGUGAUGAGUUUAGACCUUAUAUCGUUGAUUCUAAAGUAACUGUUCACACUGAUCAUGCUACUAUUAAAUAUCUUAUGGAAAAGAAAGAUGCUAAACCUAGACUUAUUAGAUGGGUUCUCCUACUACAAAAAUUUGAUUUGCAUAUUAUUGAUAGAAAGGGAGCUGAGAACCCCGUUGCAGACAACUUGUCUAGGUUAGAGAAUGUUCUUGAUGACCCACUACCUAUUGAUGAUAGCUUUCCUGAUGAACAAUUAGCUGUCAUAAAUGCUUCUCGUACCGCUCCAUGGUAUGCUGAUUAUGCUAAUUAUAUUGUUGCUAAAUUUAUACCACCUAGUUUCACAUACCAACAAAAUAAAUUUUUUUUCUAUGAUUUAAGACAUUACUUCUGGGAUGACCCACACCUUUAUAAAGAAGGAGUAGAUGGUGUUAUUAGACGUUGUGUACCUGAGCAUGAAUAG